CCCCAUCCCCAGGUGGGGGUCCCGGUGGGCCGCCUGGAGCAGCGGGUGGGGGCUCUGAGGGGUCGCACCCCAUACACCGUCCGGGUCCGCGUCCGCCCCGACGGGCUGAGCUACGGCGGCUAUUGGAGCCCGUGGUCCGAACCCAUCACUGCCGUCACCGCCCCCGAUGUGGACCCGGUGACGGUGGGGCUCUCCUCUCUGCUGGCGCUGCUGCUGCUGGGGCUGGCAAUGCUCGCGCUGCUCGGACAGCGGCGGAAGCUGCAGGAGAAGCUGUGGCCGCCCGUGCCCGGCCCUGAGAGGGAAUUCGAGGGGCUCUUCAGCGCCUAUGGGGGCAAUUUUCAGCUCUGGCUGUACCAAGGGGUGGUGGAGCCCUGGAGCCCCCCCGGAGGCACCCCGGAAGCCGAGGAACAGCCCAGUGCCGUGGAAGAGGUGGGGCCCCCCCCCGGGCAAAGAGCCCCCCCCCGGGGACCCCCCCGUCUGCCCCCCCUUCGGCCCCCCCCAGCGGCCCCUCGCCCGCCUCCAGCUUUGAGUACACGCUGUUUGACCCCGGCUCGGCCCUGCUCUGCCCCAGGGGGCACCCCCAAAUCGCCCCCCCCCCACGACCCCCCCCGGCGGCCCCUACGCCAACCUGGCCCCUCCCCACAAAGGGUCCCCCCCCCCCGAGGAGGGGACCCCCCAAAGAAACCCCCCACGACAGGAGACCCCCACGGGAGCUUCCGUGCAAUGGGAACCCCCCCGGGACCCUCCUGGCGUUGGGGCCCCCCCCAAUGCCCCCCCCCUACGUGCUGUGCUCUUAAUGGAUGGGGGGGGGGGGAGAGGGGGGCGGAGGGGGGGGUUGGGGACACCCCCCGGGAUGGGGUGACACCGAAUGGAGGGGACACGGCGACGUGAGGUCACGUGGGCUCACCACGACACGGGGACGUGUCACACCACGGCACGAGGAUGGAGGGGACGUGUCAUAGUGACGUCACGUGGGCUCACCAUGACACGAGGAUGGAGGGGACGCGUCAUAGUGAUGUCAUGUGGGCUCACCAUGACACGAGGAUGGAGGUGACACACUGUAGUGAUGUCACAUGGACUCAUAGUGACAUCACAUGGACUUACCAUGACACGAGGACGUGUCACACUGUGACACAUUGAUGGAGGGGGACACAUCAUAGUGAUGUCACAUGGACUCACCAUGACACAAGGAUGGAGAGGACACGUCAUAGUGACGUCACGUGGGCUCACCAUGACAUGAGUACAGAUGGGACACAUCAUAGUGAUGUCAUGUGGGCUCACCAUGAGACGAGGAUGGAGGGGACACGUCAUAGUGACGUCACGUGGGCUCACCACGACACGGGGACGGAGGUGACACACUAGUGAUGUCACAUGGACUCAUAGUGACAUCACGUGGACUCACCAUGACACAAGGAUGGAGGGGACGCGUCAUAGUGACGUCACAUGGGCUCACCAUGACAUGAGGAUGGAGGGGACACGUCACAGUGAUGUCACGUGGACUCACCAUGACAUGAGGACGGAGGUGACACACUGUAGUGAUGUCACGUGGACUCAUAGUGACAUCACGUGGACUCACCAUGACACGAGGACGUGUCACACUGUGACACAUGGAUGGAGGUGACGUGUCAUAGUGAUGUCACGUGGACUCAUCACAACACUCGAGGACGUGUCACACUGUGACACAUGGACGGAGGGGACUCACCACGACACGAGGAUGGAGGUGACGCGUCAUAGUGACGUCACGUGGACUCACCACGACACGGGGACGGAGGGGACACGUCACAGUGAUGUCACGUGGACUCACAAUGACACGAGGAUGUGUCACACCGUGACACAUGGAUGGAGGCGACACGUCAUAGUGAUGUCACAUGGACUCACCACGACACAAGGAUGGAGGGGAGAAGUCACAGUGAUGUCACAUGGACACACAGUGACAUCACGUGGACUCACCAUGACACGAGGACGUGUCACACUGUGGACACAUGGAUGGAGGAGACUCACCACGACACGAGGAUGGAGGUGACGCGUCAUAGUGAUGUCACGUGGACUCACCACGACACGAGGGUAUGUCACACUGUGACACAUUGAUGGAGGGGACACGUCGUAGUGACGUCACAUGGACUCACCAUGACACGAGGAUGGAGAUGACACACUGUAGUGAUGUCACAUGGACUCAUAGUGACAUCACAUGGACUCACCACGACACGAGUAUGGAGGUAACGCGUCAUAGUGACGUCACGUGGACUCACCACGACACGAGGAUGGAGGUGACGCGUCAUAGUGACGUCACGUGGACUCACCACGACACGGGGACGGAGGGGACACGUCGCAGUGACGUCACGUGGGGACACAGCGGGGUUGUGGGGGUGGUCCCGUCCCACCCCCCCCCCCCCCCCCAAUGUCCAUACGCCGAAUUGGGGCCACUCGUGUUGGUUUGCCACUGUUUUAUACAAUAAAGCACUCGUGAGCGCACGCAGCGCCUCGGGGGGGGGUGGGGUGGGGUGGGGGCGGUGAUAAGGCCUUAUCAGAGCCCCCAGGGCCGGGGGGGGGCACAGCACGCGCUCAGCCCCACGCUGUGGGUGUCGGGGGGGGGGAGGGGGGUGGCUGUGAGGGCACUGAUAACGUGGGCUGUCCGCUCGUGUCGCCUCCUGGCACCUCCGGACACCUCCGGACACCUCCGGACACCAGCAGUGCGGCACGGGGGCUCGUGGCACCUCGGUUCCGUGUCGUAUAGGCACUGUGACAUCUGGGUCCCAUGUCACCUUGGUUCCGUGUCGUAUAGGCACUGUGACGUGGGUUCCGUGUCACCUGGGUUCCAUGUCACCGGGGUUCUGUGUCACCUGGGUUCUGUGUCACCUCGGUUCCGUGUCGUAUAGGCACUGUGACGUGGGUCCCGUGUCACCUGGGUUCUGUGUCACCUGGGUUCCGUGUCGUAUAGGCACUGUGUCACCUGGGUUCCGUGUCACCUGGGUUCUGUGUCACGGUGUUCCAUGUCACCUGGGUCCCAUGUCACCUUGGUUCCGUGUCGUAUAGGCACUGUGACGUGGGUUCCGUGUCACCUGGGUUCCAUGUCACCUGGGUUCUGUGUCACCUGGGUUCCGUGCCAUAUAGGCACUGUGACAUCUGGGUUCCGUGUCACCUGGGUUCUGUGUCACCUGGGUUCCAUGUCGUAUAGGCACUGUGUCACCUGGGUUCCAUGUCACCUGGGUUCUGUGUCACCUGGGUUCUGUGUCACCUGGGUUCUGUGUCACCUGGGUUCCGUGCCAUAUAGGCACUGUGACAUCUGGGUUCCGUGUCACCUGGGUUCUGUGUCACCUCGGUUCUGUGUCGUAUAGGCACUGUAUCACCUGGGUUCCAUGUCACCUGGGUUCUGUGUCGCCUGGGUUCUGUGUCGCCUGGGUUCCAUGUCACCUGGGUUCCGUGUCACCUUGGUUCCGUGUCGUAUAGGCACUGUGACGUGGGUUCCGUGUCACCUGGGUUCCGUGUCACCUGGGUUCUGUGUUGUAUAGGCACUGUGUCACCUGGGUUCUGUGUCACCUGGGUUCUGUGUCAUAUAGGCACCGUGUCACCUGGGUUCCGUGUCACCUGGGUUCUGUGUCAUCUGGGUUCCGUGUCACCUGGGUUCCGUGUCGUAUAGGCACUGUGUCACCUGGGUUCCGUGUCAUUGUGCCACCUGGGUUCCAUGUCAUAUAGGCACUGUGUCACCUGGGCACUGUGUCACCUGGGUUCUGUGUCACCUGGGUUCUGUGUCAUAUAGGCACUGUGUCACCUGGGUUCCGUGUCACCUGGGUUCUGUGUCACCGGGGUUCCGUGUCGUAUAGGCACUGUGACGUGGGUUCCGUGUCACCUGGGUUCCAUGUCACCGGGGUUCUGUGUCACCUGGGUUCCAUGUCACCUGGGUUCUGUGUCACCUGGGUUCUGUGUCAUAUAGGCACUGUGUCACCUGGGUUCUGUGACAUCUGGGUUCCGUGUCACCUGGGUUCCAUGUCAUAUAGGCACUGUGCCAUCUGGGUUCCAUGUCACCUGUGUUCCGUGUCACCUGUGUUCCGUGUCACAGUGUCACCCAGGCUCCGUGUCGUGCCGCACAGACUCUGUCACCUGCAUUCCAUGUCACCCGGGUUCUGUGUCACACAGGCAUUGCGUCCCCUGGGUUCCAUAGCACUCGGGUUCCGUGUCACCUGGGUUCCAUGUCGCGUGGGUUCCAUGACACAUAGGCAUUGUGUCACCCGGUCCCAUGUCACCAGGGCUCCAUGUCACCUGGGUUCUGUGUCACCUGGGUUCCGUGCCAUUUGGGUCUGUGUCACUCAGGUUCUGUGUCACCUUGGUUCCCUGUCACCUGGGUCCCACGCCACAGUGUCACCCAGGCUCCGUGUCACUGUGCCAUGCAGACCCCAUGUCACCUCGGUUCCGUGUCACCUGGACUCCACAUCACCCGGGCUCCAUGUCACUGUGUCACCUGGGCUCCACAUCACCUCUGCUCCAUGUCACCGUGUCACCUGGGCUCCACAUCACCUGGGCUCCAUGUCACUGUGUCACCUGGGCUCCAUGUCACCGGGCAGCUCUAUGUGACUGUGUCACCCGGGCUGCACAUCACCUGGUCUCCAUGUCACUGUGUCACCUGGGCUCCACAUCACUGGGGCUCCAUGUCACCGUGUCACCUGGGCUUCAUGUCACCAUGUCACCUGGGCUCCACGUCACCUGGGCUCCAUGUCACCGUGUCACCGGGCAGUUCCAUGUCACCGUGUCACCUGGGCUCCACAUCACCUGGGCUCCAUGUCACCGUGUCACCUGGGCUCCAUGUCACCUGGCAGCUCCAUGUCACUGUGUCACAUGGGCUCCACAUCACCUGGGCUUCAUGUCACAUGGGCAGCUCUAUGUCACCGUGUCACCCAGGCCCCACAUCACCUGGGCUCCAUGUCACUGUGUCACCUGGGCUCCACAUCACCUGGGCUCCGUGUCACUGUCUCAUGUGGGCUCCAUGUCACCGGGCAGCUCCAUAUCACCGUGUCACCUGGGCUCCACAUCACCUGGGCUCCAUGUCACCUGGCAGCUCCAUGUCACCGUGUCACCUGGGCUCCACGUCACCUGGGCUCUAUGACACUGUGUCACCAUGUCACCGUGUCACCUGGGCUCCACAUCACCUGGGCUCCAUGUCACUGUGUCACCUGGGUUCCGUGUCACUGAGUCAUGUGGGCUCCAUGUCACCUGGGCUCCAUGUCACCGUGUCACCGGGCAGUUCCAUGUCACCGUGUCACCUGGGCUCCACAUCACCUGGGCUCCAUGUCACCGUGUCACCUGGGCUCCAUGUCACCUGGCAGCUCCAUGUCACCGUGUCACCUGGGCUCCACAUCACCUGGGCUCCAUGUCAUUGUGUCAUGUGGGCUCCACAUCACCUGGGCUUCAUGUCACAUGGGCAGCUCUACGUCACCGUGUCACCCAGGCCCCACAUCACCUGGGCUCCAUGUCACUGUGUCACCUGGGCUCCACAUCACCUGGGCUCCGUGUCACUGUCUCAUGUGGGCUCCAUGUCACCGGGCAGCUCCAUGUCACCGUGUCACCUGGGCUCCAUGUCACCUGGGCUCCAUGACACUGUGUCACCUGGGUUCCAUGUCACUGAGUCAUGUGGGCUCCCUGUCACCUGGGCUCCAUGUCACCGUGUCACCGGGCAGUUCCAUGUCACCAUGUCACAUGGGCUCCACAUCACCUGGGCUCCGUGUCACUGUGUCACAUGGGCUCCGUGUCACUGUCUCAUGUGGGCUCCAUGUCACCGGGCAGCUCCAUGUCACCGUGUCACCUGGGCUCCACAUCACCUGGGCUCCAUGGCACUGUGUCAUGUGAGCUCCACGUCACUGGGGCUCCAUGUCACCGUGUCACCUGGGCUUCAUGUCACCAUGUCACCUGGGCUCCACGUCACCUGUGCUCCAUGUCACCGUGUCACCGGGCAGCUCCACGUCCCCGUGUCACCUGGGCUCCACAUCACCUGGGCUCCACACCAGCCAGGCUCAGUGACACCACAACACCCGAGGGCUGCACAUCACCACCCGACUCACCCUCAGCCUUCAUCCCCACUGCCAUCUCCGUCCUCAUCCUCGUCCCCAUCGCCGUCCCCAGGCCCGGGGGUGACGUUCAGCCCCCCGUGGGGCUCGAAGCGCAGCCUCCAUCCCCGCGGCACCGAUCCGGGCAGGACGAGGCGGACGUUCACCCGCAGUGGGACCCCGGGGAGGGGUCUCAGACGGCACUCAGCCGGGAAGUAACGGCGCAGGACGGGCAGCACACGGGGCCCGGGGGGGGGCACACGGAGGGCAGCCAGGAGCCGGGCCGGGGGUCGGGG
ensembl:lncRNA